rnacentral:rRNA from 1 species
AGUGAACGCUGGCGGUAGGCCUAACACAUGCAAGUCGAACGGCAGCACAGUAAGAGCUUGCUCUUACGGGUGGCGAGUGGCGGACGGGUGAGGAAUACAUCGGAAUCUACUUUUUCGUGGGGGAUAACGUAGGGAAACUUACUCUCAUACCGCAUACGCCCUACGGGUGAAAGCAUGGGAUCUUCGGACCUUGCGCGAUUGAAUGAGCCGAUGUCGGAUUAGCUAGUUGGCGGGGUAAAGGCCCACCAAGGCGACGAUCCGUAGCUGGUCUGAGAGGAUGGUCAGCCACACUGGAACUGAGACACGGUCCAGACUCCUACGGGAGGCAGCAGUGGCGAAUAUGAGACAAUGGGCGCAAGCCUGAUCCAGCGAUACCGAGUGGGUGAAGAAGGCGUUCGGGUUGUAAAGCCCUUUUGUUGGGAAAGAAAAGCAGCAGGUUAAUACCCCGCUGUUCUGACGGUACCCAAAGAAUAAGCACCGGCUAACUUCGUG